rnacentral:rRNA from 1 species
AUUGAACGCUGGCGGCAGGCCUAACACAUGCAAGUCGAACGAGUGGCGGACGGGUGAGUAAUGUCUGGGAAACUGCCUGAUGGAGGGGGAUAACUACUGGAAACGGUAGCUAAUACCGCAUACCAUCAGAUGUGCCCAGAUGGGAUUAGCUUGUUGGUGGGGUAACGGCUCACCAAGGCGACGAUCCCUAGCUGGUCUGAGAGGAUGACCAGCCACACGGGAACUGAGACACGGUCCAGACGCCUACGGGAGGCAGCAGUGGGGAAUAUUGGACAAUGGGCGAAAGCCUGAUGCAGCCAUGCCGCGUGUAUGAAGAAGGUCUUCGGGUUGUAAAGUACUUUAAGCUGGGAGGCGUUACCCACAGAAUAAGCACCGGCUAACUCCGUGCCAGCAGCCGCGGUAAUAC